rnacentral:lncRNA from 1 species
GUGGUUUCAACAUGUUUUGGUGUUUCAGAAAGCUUAAAGGAUGUUGGGUGAAGGUUUUUGGGUGGUUAAGUGAAGUUGAAAUGCCUUGAAACUCAGAACCCGACACUCCAUUUUGAAGGAGGAAAGUUGGAUUUGCAAUAGGGGUUUCUUGACUUUGGAAGCUUGGUUUUUUCAUGGAACAUCUUCCCCUAUUUAUAGGGAAGGUGUUGGAGUGCUCUGGAGAGAGAAAGGAAGAGGUUUCUU